rnacentral:misc_RNA from 1 species
CUUUGGGGGAACCCUUCAACUAGGGUUCACUACGGAAACAAACUCGAUAAGCUCAUAUCCCCUUCCUUGCCAUUAUAUUGCAAUCUACAUAUACCCGUCUCACCAUCAAAUCCAUUCUCACCCCCACCAUUAACUCCACAGGAAAAACAUACAUCCAUGCUACAGGUGGAAAGGCACCAAGAACAUAACCAGACUAGCCAAAGCCAAGAGAUGAGAUGGGGUGACAAAGGUAAAAGAUCAUGGGGUUUAUACUGAAGGAUACUGCAUUUGCAACUACGUUUUUUGGGUUGCUUGCAUUUGGGCUCCCUGAUGGUGGAUGUAUGUUGGGCAUGGUUCUGCUUUAGACUAGGCAAUGAUGAAAUAGGUGAAGAAAUGGAGGAAUCGCGAUGGAAAAAGAAGGGAAUUUUUGCUUUGAUAUGGAAUUUGUGUUCUUGGUUUGUUAUUUGUGUUCUUGAAUUUAUGGAUUUGAGUUGUGGAUUUUAUAUAAUGGGUCUGUGUUCUUGAAUUUAUGGAUUUUAUAUUCUUAGGGAUACUCGAG